UAUAUAUAUCUCCUUCCCGUGGCGCCUUGUUUAGUAUCCUGAGUUAUAUAUGUGCUAGUUGGACUUUAAUGGGAAAAAAAAAAGUAUUCUACAUGGCUGUAGUAUUUCAGUACAAGCUUGUCUUAUUUGUGCCUCUAUCAGCUGAGAAUGCAGAUUGAUUGCUACUUGAUUUUCUAUUUCCCUCUGCUAUAAUGCCUUUGUGAUUCACUGUUUCCUUGUAGCACCCACCCUUUUUGUUUGCCCAGCUAUGUAAUGAGCUGUACUGAAUGUUAGAAAAGUCAACUGUAGGAUAUGUGUAAAAAUUAAUUGUGGUGCAAAGUUCUAAAAAUGGAGCAGUUACCAAGGAAACAAUUUUUCUUGUUUGCUUUCCUCUACUGCCUAAGUAUUGUAUUUUUUCCCUUCCCAUCUGCAUCUUGAUACAUCCUCCUGAAAAUAGUUUACAGUGAACCUCUCAAAGCAAGAUUCUUAGGCAGAUAUUCCUAAAUUUGCCUCCUCUUUAAUCAGUUAUUUUGAUCAGUGAAUGAGCGUUUGAGCACAGUUUAAUUGUAACUGCCCUGGUCUUGAGUGGUGGAUGUACUGUAGUUAUUGGUGCGUGAUGACCGUCACUGUGUUUUCAGACUGUGCAGAUUUAUUUUCCCUGUUGAGGGUUUUUUUUUUUUUUUAUUAAAUCAGCACAAAUGGAAAUGUACUUAAAGGUACACUAUAGACACCCAGACCACUUCAGCCCAUUGAAAUGGUCUGGGUGCCAACUCCCAUCACCCUUAACCCUGCAAGUGUAAUUAUUGCAGUUAUUAUAAACUGCAAUAAUCACCUUGCAGGGUUAUCUUCCAGCUUAAGACUUCAUGCUUCUUUGGUUGUCUAAACGCAGCUGGACGUCCUCACGCUCUGCAUGACGACCUCCAGCAUCGCCUCAAUCCCCAUAGAAAAGCAGUUAUUAAUGCUUUCCUAUGGGGAGGUCUAAUCCGUGCAUGUGCAUUAAGUCUCCCCUAUCGGCAUGGGUGGGGCCUGACCCAUCGCUAAGGGACAUUGGUGCUGGAUUCAGGUAAGUGACUGAAGGGGUUUUAACCCCUUAAGCGAGGUGGGAUGGGGGGCGGGAGGGAGCGGGGCACUCAAAGGGAUUCUCUAGUGCCAGGAAAACAAUUCCACACCAGAAAUGGUCCAACACCGAUAAUAUUCAGUGUUUCUCACCUUGUUUUUCUUUUAGUUAUAAAAUUCAGUGAAGUGACGGAGUAAAUAAUUACUCUACCUGUCUCGGUAAACUAUCCAUUUUUGUUACAGGGUAGAAGAUUUAAGCUAACUUCGCCUCUUGAUUACAAAUAGUCAGAUAAUUUACCUACAAUAAUAAAAUGUGCUGCCAAAUUCAAUCUCCUACCCACAUUCAAUAGCAAACCAAACAAAAUGUAUUUUAGUUUAAAUAAAACGCUAAAAUAUAUUUUUAUUUUUAGAAUUAAAGUUUGAUUGUGUUCCUUGUCGAUUUAUAUUGUGGCCCCACCCCAAUUAUUUAAGAAAACCAAAUGGCUUUAAUACAUCACUAAGACACUCUCCGCUGCCUAAUCUACCUACUGUGAUUAGCGUCAACUGUGAGAAGCAGAACAAACUUUCAACUUGUACGUAUUACUAAUCUCCAUCCACCAGUCCAAUGUUUCUCUAGAAAUACCACAAAGUCAAUGCUUCUCUGUGAGCAUUAGCCUUGUUCAACGUCAUCAUGCAGUUUUUCAAAAGUCGAAGGAUGUGAAGAUAAAAGCUAAUCUAGUCGCUGUCGGGUUUUCUGCAUAAUAUAAAUAUUGAAGUGAGUCUUACAGAGAAGGCGCCACAUUAAUGCACCAAAUCCUACCUCCACCCAUCCCUCAAUGCUCCCUAGUUGAAGGUGAGGGGGAGGUCUUAUACUUAACUUUUCUCCCUCGAAUGCCGGUCUGCCCGCUGCCGCUGCACCUCAAUAGAGGGGUUUUGGUGUAUAGAUCAUGCCACCGUUAAUAACUAAUUUCAAUGCCGUUUAUGAGUUAAUUCACUUUGUUUAUGCAGUCCUAGUCACUACCAUCUGCAUGUGACCUAUACAAUCUCUCUAUGCAAUAAAGGAAGUUUAAAUAUUGUAUCUCUUUACAGGAAAGGUGUAGUGUGUUUAAUUUAUGUUUUCUUAUCUCCUGCUGUGUUAAAAGCCUGCAGGAGCCUCCUGUGUGUAAUUCAAUUUCAAUUAACAGAGCAGGUGACAAGAAGUUCUAAAGUAGACACAUUGCCCUGUGAGAGCUGAUUGAACAUCAAACCAUUUUGUUUUCAUGCAGGCUGGUUGAGUCACAGGUAGGAGAGGUGUGGCUAGAGCUGCAUGGAAACAAAAGUGAUUUAACUCUUAAAUGGCAGAGAAUUGAGUGGGACACUGCAUGGACAUGAUCUAUACACCAAAACUGCUUCAUAAAGCUUAAGUUGUUUUAGUGCUUAGAGUAUCUCUUUAACUAAGCCAGUCUGCUUAUGAAUUAAUUAUCCCAGAGGUCUGACAUUCUCACAAUUCUGUAAUGAGAUAUGAUUGUUUUCAUUCAAUGAUCAGUAUAUUAAAUCUAUGAAAAUUAAUAUAUUCUGCUGCAAGAGCCAACACUUGUCAUUAUCAGAUCACUUAUUUAGCUUGAAUGCUGUUGACACAUUCCUCAGAUCAGCUGAAAUGAUGUGAUGUGUUUAUAUUUAAAGUUAUAUUUUAUUUUCUAAAAAUGCUAAAGGAUUUCUAAUGACUGGAUAUAAAUAGUAUUUAAGCAAAAUAGCUCUGAGAAAAAUAAAAAAGGGCAUAUAGAACAGGUGUGUAUUUUAUCAGGAAAUUAAGGUAAACACUGCAGGAGGGGAGAGGCAGGCUUUUGAAAGCUAAACUGUAUGCUAAUUUGGUGUAAAUCACCAACAUCCAAACAGAAUAAGUUUGGAUGAAGCAUUAUCCAGAAAACACACUAUAAACCAUAUACAGCCUAUAGCUUGCUGCUAAAUAUAAACUUGGUGCACCAUAAAAGGGGAAAAAACGUGUUUUCUGUAAGUCUAGAUUUCAACUUCUUAUUGAUGCUAUAUUUUGGAAAGUGAAUUUAAAUUGAAGCAUUGGUACUUGUUAAAACAGCAUUUUGCUACAUUUUCAAGUAUUGAGGUUUCCAGAAUCCUUUUAAAUUAGCAUAUCAAAGAAUUUUCCAACUACUGUGGAAGUUUAAUGAUACAGUACUGGUAAAAGUGGGCACAGCUUCAAAUGUAACAAGAUUUGGGAAAACACAUUUUCUCUGUAAUUCAUUCUUACUAUGUGUUUCAAAUGAUAAUUGUGUAUGGCUGUAAAAGGAAUAUUCAGAGUGGCUUUGCCAAGAAAAUACAGAUAGAAGAUAUUGUUCAGUGUUUGACAGGUGACCAUAAUUGCAUGCGCAAACCUUACUUUUAUCCACCUCAUAAAAUCCAUUAAAAAAAAAAAAAUUUGAUCAUUCAAUUUUAUUUAACUCAUUCUUUUUAAAUGCAAGAUGGAGGAGGGUUCCAUUUUGUCACAGACCCAGGUUGUACUCUGAUGCUUGUGUAAUACUUUUUUGCCUUUAACGAAGAGUGAUGAAUUAUACAAUAGUGGAUAAUACGUACUUACUGCCUUCUGACUAUAAGACAAUCUAAUGUGUUAAUUUCUAUUUGCCUUGCAGCUGGUUAAUUAUUGUUUAAUAUCAGAGGAAGACAGAUUUAACAGGCACAAUACUAAUUCAUGAUACUUGAUGUGGGAAAAUUGGCUGACUUAAUUGUACUCUAAUUCAAAGAAACAAUCUAUUGUGCUGACAAUUUUUAAAGUCCAUUUUAUGGUCAUGUUUUUAUCUGGUUUAAUGAUAAAAUGACUGCUGCUGGUCCAUUUUGGGUUUGUAGCUCUAUAUAAAAGCAGAAACCUACAUGCUAGAGUGGAGAAGCCAUAACAGACUGCCGUGCUUAUUAAGAAACUGCUUCAGGGUUUAAAACAAUAUGGAGGAUCUUUCACAAUCACAAAUGACCACUUUCACCCUAGUUUGAUUUACUGUGUAUAUGUAUUAUACAUACAAAAAACCAACCAAAAACUAUAGCACUCCCCUUAGUAGUCAAAUAGGACAACCUUUUUAAUGUCUUGGUUCAUCCACAUGGUAAAUAGAAGCAUAAACUAUAAUGGUGGCAGUCAUAGGUCUUCAAACACCAUGACCUUUAGAUAUGGCAAAGUGUAAUACAGAAAACAAAAACCUAAUUUUCUUUGUGUGUUCUAUAUCGCACUUUAAUACAUUAAAAUAUUCACAGAAUUACAUUUCCAAUGAGUGCGACCAUUGUUUAUGCCUAUAUUCAGUGUAGGAAAGCACCAAGGCACUAAAGCUGUGCAAACAUAAGUGUGUGUGUGUGUGUGUGUGUAAGCACAGCUUUAGUGUUUUUUUUUUUUUUUAACUAAAACAAUCUUUACAUUCAAUGCAACUGCUAAAAUCCAUAUGGUUGGAAAUCAAAGGAUGGGGAAAUCAAAAAGUUUGUAUUAUGUUAUUGGCAGAUAACCCUGCAAUGUUUUGCUAUGCAGUUAUGGUACAAGGGGCUAAGGAUUAUUUUGACAUUUGUAAAUUAUAUAUAUAUUUAUCAAGUCUUGUUGGUUGUUUAUCUGUCAGACAACGGGUUUUUGAAUCAAAAAGCCCAAAGCAAUGCAAACUACAAUGUUUACAAGAUAUCCCACUAUAUACUAGCAAAACUCAAUGCAUGGGAUGUAGUUUGGAAAAUUUUAAAACUGAAACUGUGUAUUGUUUUUAACUGACAUGAAGUGGAUUUAAUCGUAAGUGUUUAGUGUUUUGUUUUUUUCUCCGGUUCAUUUUUACAGUAUGUUUUGUACUGUAUUUACACCUGUUCACCACUUUUCAUGGUUUCAUAGUUAAAUAGACCAUGUGCUGUUUUUCCUUUUAAAUAGAAUCAUACUACUUUUUGAUAACUCCGUGCAGAUACACAGCCUUCAACUGUGGGCUCUUUUUCCAACAGUAGAGAAAAUAAAACUGUAUUUUUUUAAAUAAAAAUAAAAUAUUGUGUUGGUUUAAAAAACAAAAAAA